UUCAAACCGAACCGGAUCCUGUCUGAACCGAACCGAACAGGAUUCAACUUGAACCAAAGUGAAUCCAAACUGAAUGGAACCAAAUCCGGUCCUAACCAAAUCAAAGUAAAUCCAUACACCGAACCCAUGAACCAUAUCCAAGUUCAUGAACCAAGUCGUACACCAAACUUAUGAACCAUAUCCAUACACCAAACCCAUGAACCAUAUCCAAGUUCAUGAACCAAAUCCAUACACCAAACCCAUGAACCAUAUCCAAGUUCAUGAACUAAAUCCAUACACCAAACCCAUGAACCAUAUCCAAGUUCAUAAACCAAAUCCAUACACCAAACUCAUGAACCAUAUCAAAGUUCAUGAACCAAAUCCAUACACCAAAUUCAUGAACCAUAUCCAAAUUUAUGAACCAAGUCCAUACACCA
rnacentral:lncRNA from 1 species